GAUUUUUGCCAAAAAUAUAAAGAGCAAGAUCAACUCUUGAUACGCAAGUGGAAUGAUUAUUUUAACGCCGUACUAUCUUUAAAUAGGAAAUAUCUUAGUCAAUCAGAUGAAUUACUCUUGGAGGUCCUGAAGAAUGGAAACCUAACUCAGAAUUCUCAGAAUUUUAUUCAAAUUUCCCUUCUCGCGGCAUUAGUACCGCCGAAAUCUAACAAAAUUUCCAUUAAAAAACAGGGAAGGAGAACCUAUUAGAAGCCUUCCACCGUUGAAAGUAGGGAAGGAAUUAUUUUACUUGUCACGGUUCCCGGAGAUAUUCAAGAGGUUGUACGGCAAAGAACUGAAAAAUUAUAUCAAUUCGGGCAGACGGUUCAGCCAUUCGUAGUAGUUGUUGGGGCAGAAGUAACUUCCAUCGAGAAAGUCUAUCUGUGCAUCGAUGAACGACUUAUAGAAAUACCUUCUGUGUUAAAAGCCCUGGACGUGGCGUUCAAAACGUUUAUU
rnacentral:lncRNA from 13 species